GACGAACGCUGGCGGCGUGCUUAACACAUGCAAGUCGAACGAUGAAGCGGUGCUUGCACCGUGGAUUAGUGGCGAACGGGUGAGUAAUACGUGAGUGACCUACCUUUGACUCUGGGAUAAGCCUGGGAAACUGGGUCUAAUACCGGAUACGACCAAUCUCUGCAUGGGGUGUUGGUGGAAAGCGUUAUGGAGUGGUUUUAGAUGGGCUCACGGCCUAUCAGCUUGUUGGUGAGGUAAUGGCUUACCAAGGCGACGACGGUAGCCGGCCUGAGAGGGUGACCGGCCACACUGGGACUGAGACACGGCCCAGACUCCUACGGGAGGCAGCAGUGGGGAAUAUUGCACAAUGGGCGCAAGCCUGAUGCAGCGACGCCGCGUGAGGGAUGACGGCCUUCGGGUUGUAAACCUCUGUUAGCAUCGAAGAAGCGAAAGUGACGGUAGGUGCAGAGAAAGCGCCGGCUAACUACGUG
rnacentral:rRNA from 1 species